AACUCAUGGUGUGGGCACUGGUUGGUGUAGCUCCUGAAUCUCUCAUAUGCUUCACCAAAACUCUCAUUGCUAUGUUAAGUGAAGCUGAAUAUUUGGUUUCUUAGCUU
rfam:Eutrema salsugineum unplaced genomic scaffold scaffold_2, whole genome shotgun sequence.